rnacentral:lncRNA from 1 species
GAGGCCUAGAGCUUGCCCAGAGAAUACCAAAGAAAAAUUCUUUUGAAGACCAUUGCAGAUAGUCAACUUUGGAGCGCUACUAGAAUGCAAAAUGAUAAAACAAGAC